CUGGUUCCCUGCAUUUUCAGUGAACCACAGAGAACCAGAAUAAGAUUGUAGGGAAACAAGCCUUGUUACAAGGUUUGAGGGUCUCUGCUAGUAUCAUGUGGACCCCAGUGUAACAAAUCUAUGGAAAGAGAGAAAAUCUCAGCUCAAGGGUCAACAUGUCUUUAUUCCAAGAAAGAGUGUACAUAUGCCAGAAUCAUAUGGACCGCAGACUGGCCCUGGUGAUUCCGUUAAAAAAAAAGAGGAAAAAUCAGUGCUUGUGCUCAUUGGUCAUUGGACAAAGGGUGAAUGCCAGAAUUUUUUCAAGAACAGUCUGAAUCUGACAUGGAAAAAUGAAGAAAAACAGCCUUCCUGUUUAUAAAUCUACAUUCUGACAAA